rnacentral:rRNA from 1 species
GAUGGGGAUGCGUUCCAUUAGUUUGUUGGCGGGGUAACGGCCCACCAAGACUACGAUGGAUAGGGGUUCUGAGAGGAAGGUCCCCCACAUUGGAACUGAGACACGGUCCAAACUCCUACGGGAGGCAGCAGUGAGGAAUAUUGGUCAAUGGACGCGAGUCUGAACCAGCCAAGUAGCGUGAAGGAUGACUGCCCUAUGGGUUGUAAACUUCUUUUAUAUGGGAAUAAAGUUGUCCACGUGUGGAUUUUUGUAUGUACCAUAUGAAUAAGGAUCGGCUAACUCCGUGCCAGCAGCCGCGGUAAUACGGAGGAUCCGAGCGUUAUCCGGAUUUAUUGGGUUUAAAGGGAGCGUAGGCGGAUUGUUAAGUCAGUUGUGAAAGUUUGCGGCUCAACCGUAAAAUUGCAGUUGAUACUGGCAGUCUUGAGUGCAGUAGAGGUGGGCGGAAUUCGUGGUGUAGCGGUGAAAUGCUUAGAUAUCACGAAGAACUCCGAUUGCGAAGGCAGCUCACUGGAGUGUAACUGACGCUGAUGCUCGAAAGUGUGGGUAUCAAACAGGAUUAGAUACCCUGGUAGUCCACACAGUAAACGAUGAAUACUCGCUGUUUGCGAUAUACAGUAAGCGGCC